rnacentral:misc_RNA from 1 species
GGGUAAUUAGGUAGUGAAAGAGAGAAUUUUAACAAUUGCAUGAACAUCUCUAAUGAAAUGAAGUGGCAAAUACUCCUGAAUGAUAUGGUCAGAAGUAUGAAAUGGUUUAUCAUGGCGAUCUAGAUUGCUUAAGAAAGACUUUCAAGUUUACAAGCUAUUGAACCUAAAAUAUUAAGCUAGUAGGUCGAGGCUAAGUAUACGUCUUAUGUCACUAAUACAAUCGCUCUCGCUUCCUGAGGAAUAAGCAUAAUCAAACAAAACUAUUCGGUUCUUUGACAUCUACUUAAAGAUGGUUUUAGAUAUGCAGAUUGGCCAAUCCACCAAUGCUUUAUCCUGUCAGGUUUCUGAACUUUCAACUACGUUUAUCCUGGCAAGUUCUGAACAGGCUGCUUAAUCUGAUGAAUUACUCGUACAGUCUUAUCCUAGUGAUUACGUAGGUUUGGCAAAUGGGGCACAAGUUCAAGACCCUUCCACAAUCAUAACAUGUCUGAUGUCCACAUCCAAAUGCAAGAUCUUUCUUAUUCCAUAAACACACGGGACAACUCCAACUCUGUGAAGAAUGAUCCACGGCAAGGCCAGAAAAAUCAUAAUCAAGUUCCAUUGUCUGUUCAUUGCUGCUUGGCCCUCUAUGCUUUGGAUAGGCACUCACCAAACUGAUUCCAAGUGGAGGAGGAAGAGGAUACCUCUUUGGAGUUCCUCUUUGGCAGCCUAGGAGAUGGAGACCUAUUGUAGCUUUGUAUUGUGAUGGUAUUUCCAUUAGUGCAGCUAGAGCAAACUCUGUCUCCUUCUUAGACAUUGAGAUGUUUUUUGACAUAAUUUCUGUGAAAUUCACAAACUGCAUUGCACAAUCAACGCAUUAAUAAUAAAUUUGACUAGAAUGUUGGUUUCAUGAGUCCCCGAACUGAUAUAUCUUGACCUGGAAAUUAUCAAAAGCUCGAGAAGGAAUGUUGUCAUCAAAUUUCUGCAUCAUGUCCCAUGGCCCAUCACCUACUCCGACCAGUACUAUUGACAACGGAUACUCACUUGCUUUUACAAUAGCAUUAAUGGUGCUAUGCUGCUGAUGACUCAACUGUCCGUGACCUGUAUCUACACUUCUUGUAACCUGCCCAUCAGCAAUGAUCAUGAGAACAUGAUACUGACCACCACUAUUGUCCACAAUUCCAAUUGCAGUUUCAAUGAUUGAAGCAAAAGAUGUUGGUCCAGCUAAACGAACAUUUGGAACUAUUUCUCUAUAACGACUCAAUACUUCCUCAAAUCCAUUACAUGGCCUAUCUUCUGGGUGGAAACUAAAAACUUCUUGGUCAUGAGUGCUGGCAUCACCAAAACCAUAACAAGGAAUAAGGUUAUCCUCAUCAAAAUGAGAAAGUGUUCUUCCAAUUAUUGAUAUUGCUUGUUCAUAAGGAUUCGGGAAAUCCCCAAGGUGAUGCAGGCUCUUCCUAUGGAAAGACCGUGCGCCAGUCCACUCAUUGCUUUUUGUGAAA